rnacentral:lncRNA from 11 species
CUGUAACAAAGUUGACCUUCUCAGACUUCUCAAAGCAUCCGGUGAGGUGCAUGGUUUGGGUUCCCCUACAAUAUAGCUCUCUCCUUACAUUUAAUAUCAUUGGCAUAUGUGUAUAAUCUAUGGAUGUGAAGGAGAAGAACAGCUAUCAGUACACUGCCUGAGUCAAUCCGUGUGACCAAUGUAGAACACAACGUGGAUCUAGGUGAGAACAACACAGAGAAUUACCUUAGCACCCACAAACUUUAUAAAUUAAGGAGCAGAAGUCAUUUUUGA